CAACCCUCAAGCGCGGCUUGUGUGUUGGGCCCUUGUCCCCUGUGGACAGGCCCGAAAUGCAGUGGCGGUGCCCGAUUGGCGCCUGAGUGUAUGGGAUUAUCUAUCCGCUCAAAAGGCCCGAUUGGCGCGCCUGUCGAAAAUAUUAUUUUUAACCGG
rnacentral:misc_RNA from 1 species